AGAGAUAAAGGAAUUCAAAUUCUGAAAUUUUAAAAUGUGGAGAAAAUUUGUUAUGAAGAUAUCUGGUAAAUUUUAGCUAAUCAAGUGAACAAAUGAGCUAGUAAUAUCAAAAGUUAAAAGCCUGCGUGAAUCGAGUUUUUAAGUGAAGUAGUAAUUAGCUUGGAGGACUGCUAUUAAAAAUGGAAACUGAAAAAUGGCUGGAAGAGACUUGGGUGAAAUAUUCUCAUUUUGAGGAAUUCUUCUUUAAUGAGGAAGACACUGAUUUUUCUGAUUUUCUUGACGAAUGGCAAAUUAGGCUAACAAGCGCCCUGGAUGCAGGGAUAAGUUAUUCCGAAUCUGUCCUAGCGUUCAAAUUACUUAAGAACAGUAAUCUGGACGCGGAUGCGCAGGAGUUUAUAUUCUCUGCUCUGCGCAUGCAUUGUCUGGAUCGUAAGAGUUUACUACUUCAGACUAUGCUGAUCCUUUCGCAGAUGUUUCAGGAAACUGAUGAGUCAGAGAUAACUAAAUAUUUAAACAAGACUGAAAAUAGUUCUCUUCAAACUACAUUUUCUAUUGAUGAUACACAUAUUGAUGAUUCACAUAUUAAUGCUACGAAUAUUGAUGCUAAGAAUAUUGAAAACACAAACCAGAAGGUUCAAGAUCAAAACCAAAUUAAGAGUAAUAAAAAGAAAAAGAAAAAGAAGAAAUUGAUAAAAGUGCAGGAGGGUGAACCUGGGAAGAAGAUAGAGAAGGAUAAAAGAAAAAAUUCAAAAAAAAAAAUUGUUCCACGGGAAGUGGUUAGGGAAGAUGGAACCUCCGAUAUUUUCCAGUGUCCGGAGUGUCCCCUGUUUGUUUAUUUUAAUGCUGGUUUGCAGCAUCACUUGCCAGUUCAUAAACUUCCUUCAAGACCCUUCCAGUGUUCUAGUUGCAGUGCUUCAUAUAGUCUGCAAGGAGGACUAUAUAGCCAUAAAUGCGUACAUGAUGAGCCUAUUACCUGUACUUUGUGUGAUAUGAAGUUCUUUGGGAGACAUAAGAUCAAGAGACAUAUGAGACAAAGCCACAAAGUUAAAGGAGAUUAAAUAGUUUCUCUAUAAAGUGACUUGUGAAUUUCUUCCCAAAAAAACAUAGGAAUUUCCAUCUCAAGACUUCUAAACCAAGUAACAUCUGGCACUCUUGAGAAACUUUCUUAUUUUUGCGGCUCAGACAGAUUUUUCUUAUUUUAGUAUUUGUUGAAGACUGAAACAAAACUGUAUGGAUAUCUCUGUAUAAAACUUAUGUACGGCCCCACCUUGAAUACUGUAUACAAGCCUGGAAUCCCUGGCUGAUUAAAGAUAAAGAAAUCCUGGAAAAAGUACAGAAAAGAGCUAUUUCCAUGACUUCUGGACUCUCAGGAUCUACCUAUGAAGAGAAAUUGAGAGAGGUUGGACUCACUAGUCUGGAGGAAAGAAAGAAGAAGGGAGAUAUGAUUCAAGUCUGGAAAAUCCUUCAUGAACAUGAUCAUGUGGAUAAAAACAACUGGUUUAGCUCAGCCUAUGUACCUGGUGAAAAUGAAAAACAAACCAGAAUGUCCCGUGAUCCUUUAAAUCUGAAGUUACCUGUUGUGCACACCGAAAUACAAAGAAACUUUUUUAGUGCAAGAGUUAUCAAUAUAUGGAAUGAUAUUCCAUAUGAAAUCAAAAGUGCUGGAAACCUGAACAUUUUCAAAAA